UUCCAGGGCUUCCUCAAGGUGCUGGGCGGGGUGGACACCAACUUCACUGUCACGUCCAAGGCGGCCGGCGACGAGGCUGAUGCCUUCGGAGACCUCUACCUCUUCAAGUGGACCACCCUACUGAUCCCGCCCACCACGCUCAUCAUCAUCAACAUGGUUGGCAUUGUCGCUGGCGUCUCCGACGCCGUCAACAAUGGGUACGGGUCAUGGGGCCCGCUCUUCGGCAAGCUCUUC
rnacentral:lncRNA from 1 species